rnacentral:rRNA from 1 species
CCUACGGGAGGCUGCAGUGGGGGAUAUUGCACAAUGGAGGAAACUCUGAUGCAGCAACGCCGCGUGAGGGAAGAAGGUCUUCGGAUUGUAAACCUCUGUCCUCAGGGACGAUAAUGACGGUACCUGAGGAGGAAGCUCCGGCUAACUACGUGCCAGCAGCCGCGGUAAUACGUAGGGAGCAAGCGUUGUCCGGAUUUACUGGGUGUAAAGGGUGCGUAGGCGUCCUUACAAGUCAGGUGUGAAAACUAUGGGAUUAACUCAUAGAUUGCACUUGAAACUGUGGGGCUUGAGUGAAGUAGAGGCAGGCGGAAUUCCCGGUGUAGGGGUGAAAUGCGUAGAGAUCGGAAAGAACACCAGUGGCGCAGGAGGCCUGCUGGACUAUAACUGACGAUGAGGCACGAAAGCGUGGGUAGCAAACAGGAUUAGAUACCGGAGUAGUC